AACGAACGCUGGCGGCAUGCCUAACACAUGCAAGUCGAACGAAGCCUUCGGGCUUAGUGGCGCACGGGUGCGUAACGCGUGGGAAUCUGCCCUUGGGUUCGGAAUAACAGUUAGAAAUGACUGCUAAUACCGGAUGAUGUCUUCGGACCAAAGAUUUAUCGCCCAAGGAUGAGCCCGCGUAGGAUUAGGUAGUUGGUGGGGUAAUGGCCCACCAAGCCGACGAUCCUUAGCUGGUCUGAGAGGAUGAUCAGCCACACUGGGACUGAGACACGGCCCAGACUCCUACGGGAGGCAGCAGUGGGGAAUAUUGGACAAUGGGCGAAAGCCUGAUCCAGCAAGGCCGCGUGAGUGAUGAGGCCUUCGGGUUGUAAAGCUCUUUUACCAGGGAUGAUAAUGACAGUACCUGGAGAAUAAGCUCCGGCUAACUCCGUGCCAGCCGCCGCGGUAAAAC
rnacentral:rRNA from 1 species